rnacentral:lncRNA from 1 species
GACACAGCUGGUGUUCAGAAUGCAUGGCCAGGUAUUAUCCUAGUGUGGACACUGCUGGUGUUCAGAACGCAUGGCCAGGUAUUAUCCUAGUGUGGACACUGGGACACAGCUGGUGUUCAGAACACAUGGCCAGAUAUUAUCCUAGUGUGGACACUGGGACACAGCUGGUGUUCAGAACACAUGGCCAGAUAUUAUCCUAGUGUGGACACUGCUGGCGUUCAGAACGCAUGGCCAGGUAUUAUCCUAGUGUGGACACUGGGACAGAGCUGGUGUUCAGAAUGCAUGGCCAGGUAUUAUCCUAGUGUGGACACUGCUGGUGUUCAGAACGCAUGGCCAGGUAUUAUCCUAGUGUGGACACUGGGACACAGCUUGUGUUUUGGCAUCCUUAUUACCCCUGAGGUUGUCAGCUCUGA